rnacentral:rRNA from 1 species
AUUGAACGCUGGCGGCAUGCCUUACACAUGCAAGUCGAACGGUAACGGGCCUUCGGGUGCCGACGAGUGGCGAACGGGUGAGUAAUGUAUCGGAACGUACCUUUCAGUGGGGGAUAACGUAGCGAAAGUUACGCUAAUACCGCAUAUUCUGUGAGCAGGAAAGGAGGGGAUCGCAAGACCUUGAGCUGAUUGAGCGGCGGAUAAGAGAUUAGCUAGUUGGUAAGGGAAAGGCGCACCAAGGCGACGAUCUGUAGCGGGUCUGAGAGGAUGAUCCGCCACACUGGAACUGAGACACGGUCCAGACUCCUACGGGAGGCAGCAGUGGGGAAUUUUGGACAAUGGGGGCAACCCUGAUCCAGCCAUGCCGCGUGAGUGAAGAAGGCCUUCGGGUUGUAAAGCUCUUUCGGCCGGGAAGAAAUCGUAUCAGCUAAUACCUGGUGCGGAUGACGGUACCGGCAUAAGAAGCACCGGCUAACUACGUGCCAGCAGCCGCCGUAACAC